rnacentral:rRNA from 1 species
GAUGAACGCUGGCGGCGUGCCUAAUACAUGCAAGUCGAGCGAACAUACGAGGAGCUUGCUCCUCUGACGUUAGCGGCGGACGGGUGAGUAACACGUGGAUAACCUACCUUUAAGACUGGGAUAACUUCGGGAAACCGGAGCUAAUACCUGCUAAUAUCUUGAACCGCAUUGUUCAAUAUUGAAAGACGGUUUUGCUGUCACUUAUAUAUGGAUCCGCGCCGCAUUAGCUAGUUGGUAAGGUAACGGCUUACCAAGGCGACGAUGCGUAGCCGACCUGAGAGGGUGAUCGGCCACACUGGAACUGAGACACGGUCCAGACUCCUACGGGAGGCAGCAGUAGGGAAUCUUCCGCAAUGGGCGAAAGCCUGACGGAGCAACGCCGCGUGAGUGAUGAAGGUCUUCGGAUCGUAAAACUCUGUUAUUAGGGAAGAACAAAUGUGUAAGUAACUAUGCACGUCUUGACGGUACCUAAUCAGAAAGCCACGGCUAACUACGUG